GUCUACAGCCAUGCACCCUGAGUGCGCACCGCCUUGUCUACCCUGGAAGCGGACAGGAGUUGGCCCGGUUAGUAUGUGGAUGGGAGACCCCGAGAACAAUGGGUUCUGUACGCU
ensembl:rRNA 5S_rRNA 5S ribosomal RNA